GCCCGGUUAGAUCAGUUGGUAGAGCAUCAGACUUUUAAUUUGAGGGCUAUGGGUUCGAGUCCCAUAUCGGGCU
rnacentral:tRNA from 1 species